UUACUCAUUGAACUUUGAAAAAUUGCACUCCAUCACUCAUCAGUAACUUCCAUCUAACCCAGUUGCCUCCAUGGACAAUAGUUUGCACACGUGGCCGUUAAAUUGGUCCAUCUCAAUAAUGAAUUGCCAAGUCACUAAUACCAAACCCCUAACAAGCAAUUCAAACUGAAGGCGCGAGAUGAAAACUUCAUUCCAGAACGAGAUCUUCAUCUCUCAAACCAGAAUUUCCCAAAUCCAAUUCAAUCCUAACCCCCAACUUCGAUAACAAACACAACUUACCUCAAAAGUGAAAUCACGAUCUAGAAUCUCACCCGCCCAAAAAAGAUCGAACAAUUGCACUGUUAAAGGUGAACCCUAACCGAACGUCCGUCGCCGUUGAUGUCCACAACCAACCAACCACCAAUACUGGGUUUUUCAAGAAGCGCACAUGGAGGAAGAGAAUCGAGAUACGAAGGAUGACACUGAAUUCAAUGAUUCCAAUAAAGAUAUAUGCUCUAGUGAAGAUGAUAUGCUACUUGACAAAAUGUCACAGAGGGAAUUGAAUUAAGUACUUAUGAUAUUAUUUAGUUGAAGGAAUAGAGUUGGCUCGAGCCAAGCACACGAGGAAGUUUAUAGAUUUGAAUUCAUACUAACUCCGGGCAUCGAGCAGCAAUCAAAAUUUUGAAGCUAGUAUGAACUUGGAUAUCUAAUUUUUGAAGGCAUCAUGGUUCAUGUUUGUGUAGUUUUUGAUGUGUUCUUUGUGAUUGAACAUCUAACUUUUGAAGGCAGUGAUGGGUGCCGUGUUUGUGUAGUUUUUGAUGUGGUUUUUGUACUGGUGUUGCUUUCUGUUUGAGGGAAUAAGGGAUGAAGUGAGUGAAACUGUUGUUGCUGGUUUUCUUUAUUAUUGUGAAGGCAGAAAGAGCAGAAGCGCCAUUUAGGAAUGCAAGGAUAUUGAAUGUCGUGUUUGUGUAGUUUUUGAUGUGGUUUUUUCUCUCUUUACAUAUGUUGUAAAGUUUCGUUACAUAUUAACCAGAGACUAGUUCACAAGCAUACUAA